CUGGCGGAGGCUACACAUGCAGUCGAGCGGUACAGAGAAAGCUGCUUCUUUGCUGACGAGCGGCGGACGGGUGAGUACGCGUAGGAAUCUACCUAUUAGUGGGGGAUAAGCCAGAGAAAUUGGUCUAAUACCGCAUACGCCCUACGGGGGAAAGGAGGGGAUCUUCGGACCUUUCGCUAUUAGAUGGGCCUGCGUAAGAUUAGCUAGUUGGUGAGGUAAUGGCUCACCAAGGCGACGAUCUUUAGCUGGUCUGAGAGGAUGAUCAGCCACACUGGGACUGAGACACGGCCCAGACUCCUACGGGAGGCAGCAGUGGGGAAUAUUGGACAAUGGGGGGAACCCUGAUCCAGCCAUGCCGCGUGUGUGAAGAAGGCCUUCGGGUUGUAAAGCACUUUCAGAUGUGAGGAAAGGUGAGUAGUUAAUACCUGCUUACUGUGACGUUAGCAUCAGAAGAAGGACCGGCUAACUCCGUGCCAGCAGCCGCGGUAAUACGGAGGGUCCGAGCGUUAAUCGGAAUUACUGGGCGUAAAGCGCGCGUAGGUGGUUUUGUCAGUCAGAUGUGAAAGCCCACGGCUCAACCUUGGAACUGCACCUGAUACUGCAAGACUAGAGUACACUAGAGGGGAGUGGAAUUUCCGGGUGUAGCGGUGAAAUGCGUAGAGAUCGGAAGAACACAGUGGCGACGCGACUCCUGGAUUGUCUGACCUGAGUGCGAAGCUG
rnacentral:rRNA from 1 species